rnacentral:rRNA from 1 species
CCCUUAGAUGUUCUGGGCCGCACGCGCGCUACACUGACUGGUGCAACAAGUGUCGCUCCUUGGCCGAUAGGCCUGGGCAAUCUUUGAACGCCAGUCGUGAUGGGGAUAGAUUCUUGCAAUUUUUGAUCUUCAACGAGGAAUUCCUAGUAAACGCGAGUCAUCAACUCGCAUUGAUUACGUCCCUGCCCUUUGUACACACCGCCCGUCGCACCUACCGAUUGAAUGGUCCGGUGAACCCUCCGGAUCGGCUCGCGCCAGCGCAAGUUGAGCAAAGGCCGAGAAGUUGGGUAAACCUUACCAUUUAGAGGAAGGUGAAGUCGUAACA